GGGGAUGAUUGGAUUCGAUGGAGAGUUCUUUUCAAGAAAGGCAGGUAGAGCGCGAGAUCGCUCUUUAAUAUCUCUCAAAAAAAUAAUUGCCAAUACACUGGCUAGCAAGAUCAGAAACGCUUUUGCGUCUUUGACUCUUGUACCUGUUCUUGCCUAACUAAGGCGAGAGCCAUCCCACUCCUUUUGCUAGGGGAAGGAGAAAUGGGGUGUCAUAUAACCUUAGCGCGCCGUUUAGCUAGUUUCCGGCGAGGCGGCGCUAUCAAAGGGAACUCGAUCAUUGGUUGGCGCUUCGGACAAUUAGUGAUUUAAAUUAUCCCGCAAGCUAAUCCUGUAGUCUUUCUUGUUACCCACUCUUCAGACAGGGGUUCAAUUCCCCUCAUCUCCACCA
rnacentral:tmRNA from 7 species